ensembl:lncRNA
CUUUAUCGAGCCCAUCUUUGCAUGAAAUGUUCCCUUGGUAUCGCUAAUUUUCUUGAAGAAAUCUCUAGUCUUUCCCAUUCUGUUCUUUUCCUCUAUUUCUUUGCAUUGAUCGCUGAAGAAGGCUUUCUUAUCUCUUCUUGCUAUUCUUUGGAACUCUGCCUUCAGAUGCUUAUAUCUUUCCUUUUCUCCUUUGCUUUUUAUGAUUUGUUUUAUGAUUUGGUUGUGCUUUAUGUUUUGGUAUGGCAUGAGGCAUGUGGCAUCUUAGCUCCCCAGCCAAGUAUUGAACCUGUCCCACAUGCAUUGGAAGAUGUCAUCUUAACCAGUGGCCUACCAGAGAAGUCCCUAUAGGAGUCUUUUAAUAAUUCUUUCCUUUUUGUUUUUUUUCAGGUUCUCUUCUCUUUCGCUCCUGUCAUAGAUGCAGGCAGCUGCUGAUCAACGCAUAUACAUUUGGGGUGCUUCUCUCAGUUAAGGAAAAGAGACUCUCAAAGAAAUAGAUGACUUAAGGGAUAGUUUUGCUGAGCCCCACAUACGAGGAGAUGGACCAGGGUUGAAGGGACUGAAUUGAACGCUGGGUCAGGUGGAGAAAGUAAUAUCACCUGCUGUCACCAGGCCCUGACAACACCCAGAGAUGCUCUUCCGUGUCCUUGGUGCUCUCAAAGAUAAACAGAUACACAGAUAUAGCCUCUUUACUUUUUGACUUUAUCUAAAGAAGAUCACGGCAUCCGGUCCCAUCACUUCAUGGGAAAUAGAUGGAGAAACAGUGGAAACAGUGUCAGACUUUAUUUUU